ACAGCAGUCGCCGCGGUAAUACGAAGGGGGCUAGCGUUGUUCGGAAUUACUGGGCGUAAAGCGCACGUAGGCGGAUAUUUAAGUCAGGGGUGAAAUCCCAGAGCUCAACUCUGGAACUGCCCUUGAUACUGGGUAUCUUGAGUAUGGAAGAGGUGAGUGGAAUUCCGAGUGUAGAGGUGAAAUUCGUAGAUAUUCGGAGGAACACCAGUGGCGAAGGCGGCUCACUGGUCCAUUACUGACGCUGAGGUGCGAAAGCGUGGGGAGCAAACAGGAUUAGAUACCCCUGUAGUCCCUGUCUCUUAUAC
rnacentral:rRNA from 1 species